rnacentral:misc_RNA from 1 species
GAGACAAGCAUAUGACUACUGGCAGGAUCAACCAGGUAGCAUUCCUUCGGGACGCCGACGCCCGCAUGAGCCCCGCCGAGCCGCGAGGCCGCGGGCUCAAAAGCGGACACGGCAGUCGUUCGCGUCGUUGGACAAAAAUGCAUUGCUUGAUCGGAUGGGGGCCUCCCCAGAGACCGCCCACCCGCAGCACAUAACGUUCCGCAUCCGAGAGCACGAGCAAAGAACCUCAUGGGCCGAGACAGCCACGCAGCUAGGCGAGGCGUGCCAGGAACACGAGGCUUGCCUGAUGUCCACCCCACCACCCGUGAGGGCAUGGGGCGGAGAGAAACAAACGAUCCGUCGAAUUCCCUCCGGUAGGUAAGCAACACAGGAUACCGAA